rnacentral:rRNA from 1 species
AAGGGUUUCGGCUCGUAAAGCUCUGUUGUUGGAGAAGAACGUGCGUGAGAGUAACUGUUCACGCAGUGACGGUAUCCAACCAGAAAGUCACGGCUAACUACGUGCC